UACGUAGGGGGCAAGCGUUGUCCGGAAUCAUUGGGCGUAAAGAGCGUGUAGGUGGCUCGGUAAGUCCGCUGUGAAAGUCCAGGGCUCAACCCUGGAAAGCCGGUGGAAACUGUCGAGCUCGAGUCCGGAAGAGGCGAGUGGAAUUCCUGGUGUAGCGGUGAAAUGCGCAGAUAUCAGGAGGAACACCAAUGGCGAAGGCAGCUCGCUGGGACGGUACUGACACUGAGACGCGAAAGCGUGGGGAGCAAACAG
rnacentral:rRNA from 1 species